rnacentral:rRNA from 1 species
UGCCAGCAGCCGCGGUAAUACGAAGGUGGCAAGCGUUAUUCGGAAUCACUGGGCAUAAAGGGCCUGUAGGCGGUUAGAUUAGUUGAUUGUGAAAUCCCUCAGCUUAACUGAGGAAUUGCUGUCAAUACUGUCUAGCUAGAGUAUUGGAGGGGUAAGUGGAAUUCUUGGUGGAGCGGUGGAAUGCGUAGAUAUCAAGAGGAACGCCGGAGGCGAAAGCGACUUACUGGACAAUUACUGACGCUGAGGGGCGAAAGCUAGGGUAGCAAACGGGAUUAGAUA